GAGCGGAAAGGCCUCUUUGGGGGUACUCGAGCGGCGAACGGGUGAGUAACACGUGAGUAACCUGCCCUCAGGUUUGGGAUAACCCUCGGAAACGGGGGCUAAUACCGGAUAUGACAUUGCCGGGCAUCCGGUGGUGUGGAAAGUUUUUUCGCCUGGGGAUGGACUCGCGGCCUAUCAGCUUGUUGGUGGGGUGAUGGCCUACCAAGGCGACGACGGGUAGCCGGCCUGAGAGGGCGACCGGCCACACUGGGACUGAGACACGGCCCAGACUCCUACGGGAGGCAGCAGUGGGGAAUUUUGGACAAUGGGCGCAAGCCUGAUCCAGCCAUGCCGCGUGAGUGAAGAAGGCCUUCGGGUUGUAAAGCUCUUUCGGCCGGGACGAAAUGGCGCGGGGUAACAUCCCGCGUCGAUGACGGUACCGGAAGAAGAAGGACCGGCUAACUACGUG
rnacentral:rRNA from 1 species